rnacentral:rRNA from 1 species
CCUACGGGAGGCAGCAGUGAGGAAUAUUGGUCAAUGGGCGGGAGCCUGAACCAGCCAAGUCGCGUGAGGGAAGACGGUCCUAUGGAUUGUAAACCUCUUUAGGCGGGGAGCAAUGCCGGGCACGUGUGCCCGGAGGGAGAGUACCCGCAGAAUAAGCAUCGGCUAACUCCGUGCCAGCAGUCGCGGUAAUACGGAGGAUGCGAGCGUUAUCCGGAUUUAUUGGGGUUAAGGGGUGCGUAGGCGGAUUUUUAAGUCAGCGGUAAAAUGUCCGGGCUCAACCCGGGCCGGCCGUUGAAACUGGGGAUCUUGAGUGGGCGAGAAGUAGGCGGAAUGCGUGGUGUAGCGGUGAAAUGCAUAGAUAUCACGCAGAACUCCGAUUGCGAAGGCAGCAUACCGGCGCCCAACUGACGCUGAGGCACGAAAGCGUGGGGAGCGAACAGGAUUAGAUACCCUUGUAGUC